rnacentral:tRNA from 1 species
UGGGGAUUUGGCUAAGUGGUAGAGCACGUGUCUAGCAUGCAUGAAGCCCUGGGUUCUAUCCCCAGUACUUAA